UGACACGCAUUUGAUCUUGAAUGUGUGUUGAGCAAGACCCUCAAAUUCAGGGAAACCCCUAAAGCUUUUGAAUACCAAGCUUCCAGCGAAAGUUGGAGGUGGCCGCGAGUAAAUCUCGUAGGGUAUGGUGAAAACGUCAAAAGAUAUCCGGGAAACCGGUAAUGGGCAAUCCUGAGCCAAGCAACCGAAAUGCCGUAUGGUAGAGGUUGAAGGUGCAACGACUUGACGGGGGUCGGUCAGAAACGACAGUUUCAGGCUUAAGGUAAAGUCUACUCCUUAGCGAAAGUUAAGG
rnacentral:ncRNA from 1 species